UACGUAGGCACCAAGCGUUGUCCGGAUUUAUUGGGCGUAAAGAGCUCGUAGGCGGUUCGGUAAGUCGGGUGUGAAAACUCUGGGCUCAACCCAGAGCCGCCACCUGAUACUGCUGUGACUCGAGUGCGGUAGGGGAGCGGGGAAUUCCUGGUGUAGCGGUGAAAUGCGCAGAUAUCAGGAGGAACACCGGUGGCGAAGGCGGGUCUCUGGGGCCGAUACUGACGCUGAGGAGCGAAAAGCGUGGGGGAGCGAACAGG
rnacentral:rRNA from 1 species